rnacentral:rRNA from 1 species
GACGGAGGAUGCAAGUGUUAUCCGGAAUCACUGGGCGUAAAGGGUCUGUAGGUGGUUUUCUAAGUCUGCUGUUAAAGCUUGAAGCUCAACUUCAAAAAUGCAUCGGAAACUAGAAGACUUGAGUAUGGUAGGGGUAGAGGGAAUUUCCAGUGAAGUGGUGAAAUGCGUAGAUAUUGGAAAGACCACCAAAGGCGAAGGCACUCUAC